CACGUAGGGGGCGAGCGUUGUCCGGAUUUAUUGGGCGUAAAGAGCUCGUAGGCGGUUCGGCAAGUCGGGUGUGAAAUUUCGAGGCUCAACCUCGAAACGCCACUCGAUACUGCUGUGACUGGAGUCCGGUAGAGGAGUGCGGAAUUCCUGGUGUAGCGGUGGAAUGCGCAGAUAUCAGGAGGAACACCGAUGGCGAAGGCAGUUCUCUGGGCCGUAACUGACGCUGAGGAGCGAAAGCGUGGGGAGCGAACAGG
rnacentral:rRNA from 1 species